UCCCUGGUGGUUUAGUGGUUAGGACUCAGCACUUUCACUGCCGAGGGCUUGAGUUCAAUCCCUGUUUGGGGAA
rfam:Ovis aries breed Texel chromosome 5, whole genome shotgun sequence.